rnacentral:rRNA from 1 species
CAGCAGCCGCGGUAAUACGGAGGGAGCUAGCGUUGUUCGGAAUUACUGGGCGUAAAGCGCACGUAGGCGGCUUUGUAAGUCAGAGGUGAAAGCCUGGAGCUCAACUCCAGAACUGCCUUUAAGACUGCAUCGCUCGAAUCCGGGAGAGGUGAGUGGAAUUCCGAGUGUAGAGGUGAAAUUCGUAGAUAUUCGGAAGAACACCAGUGGCGAAGGCGGCUCACUGGACCGGUAUUGACGCUGAGGUGCGAAAGCGUGGGGAGCAAACAGGAUUAGAUACCCCUGUAGUCCCUGUCUCUUAUAU